rnacentral:rRNA from 1 species
AUGUCGUCCACGCCGCCGGCCGUCGCGUCCCCCGCCUCCGAGCACACCAAAUCUAAGAAAAAGAAGAGCAAAUCCAAGGACGCCUCCGCCGACCCCGCCGCCGAUACCACAUCGCUGGCGGACGCCGAGGCCAAGACUGAUGGCUAUAUGAUCAAGCCCCAGGCCCUGGUUCCGUCCCUCGACACCUCCACCUGGCCGCUCCUCCUCAAGAACUACGACCGCCUCAACGUCCGCACCGGCCACUACACCCCGCUCCCCUCCGGCCACUCGCCGCUCAAGCGCCCCCUCGCCGAGUACCUCCGCUACGGCGUCAUCAACCUCGACAAGCCGUCCAACCCCUCCUCCCACGAGGUGGUGGCGUGGAUCAAGCGCCUCCUCCGCGUCGAGAAGACCGGCCACAGCGGCACGCUCGACCCCAAGGUCACCGGCAACCUCAUCGUCUGCGUCGACCGCGCCACACGCCUCGUCAAGUCGCAGCAGGGCGCAGGUAAGGAGUAUGUGUGCAUCGCCCGCUUCCACGCCGCCGUCCCAGACACGGCCCGGGUCGCUCGCGCGCUCGAGUCCCUUACCGGCGCUGUGUUCCAGCGCCCGCCGCUCAUCUCGGCGGUCAAGCGCCAGCUCAGGGUGCGCACCAUUUAUGAGAGCAAGCUGCUGGAGCAUGACGCCGAGCGCCACCUUGCUGUGUUCUGGAUCUCCUGCGAGGCUGGAACCUAUGUCCGGACGCUCUGCGUGCACCUUGGGCUGCUCCUGGGUGUCGGUGCGCAUAUGCAGGAGCUGCGCCGUGUCCGGUCAGGUAUCCUCGGAGAGCAGGACAACAUGGUCACCAUGCACGAUGUGAUGGAUGCCAUGUGGGCGCUUGACAACCACAAGGAUGAGUCUUACAUAAGGCGUGUGGUGAUGCCGCUUGAGGUAAUUCUUACCAGUUACAAGAGGCUUGUUGUGAAGGACUCUGCUGUUAAUGCUAUCUGCUAUGGUGCCAAGCUUAUGAUUCCUGGGUUGCUCCGGUUUGAGAAUGACAUUGAUGUUGGAGAGGAGGUUGUUCUCAUGACUACAAAGGGGGAGGCGAUUGCCAUUGGUAUCGCUGAGAUGCCCACUGCUGUUAUGGCGACUUGUGACCAUGGUGCUGUGGCGAAGAUCAAGAGGGUGGUGAUGGACAGGGACACAUACCCAAGGAAGUGGGGGCUUGGUCCAGUGGCACUCAAGAAGAAGAAGAUGAUUGCUGAGGGCCUCCUUGAUAAGCAUGGGAAGCCAACUGAGAAGACCCCAGCUGAGUGGCUUCGGAAUGUGGUGCUUCCUACUGGUGGUGAUGCGAUGAUUGCUAGCCUUGCAGCUGCUCCUGAGCCCGAGAAGGUGAAGGUGGAAGGACAGGAUGUGGUGCCAAGUGAGGAGGUCAAGGAGAAGAAGAAAAAGAGGAAGACUGAUGAGGAUGAUGUAACUGCUUCUACACCUGCAAAGAAGAUGAAGGUGGAGGAGGUCACUGAGGCAGUGGAAGGGGAGAAGAGUGAGAAGAAGAAGAAAAAAAAGAAAGACAAGGGAGAACCAGGAUCAGCUGUUUCGGAGGCAGUGAAGGAGGAGAAGAGCAGUCUGUCUGAUGAGGAGAAGGGUGCCAGCGAGAAGAAAAAGAAGAAGAAGAGCAAGGAAGACGGUGAUGAUGUCGCUCCAAAGAGCGUGGAAGUUGAGAAGAGCGAGAAGAAAAAGGACAAGAAGAAGAAGAGCAAGGAAGGCGGUGAUGAUGUCGCUACAGAGAGUGAAGUUGAGAAGAGCGAGAAGAAAAAGGAGAAGAAAAAGAAGAAAGACGCAGAGGAGGCGACACAAUAG